AGCUAACAUCAGAAUAGUGGAUGAAGCCCACACUAAAAUAAUGUGGUUUGGAAAGUACAGAAGUCCCCCUGUCAGAAGUUAAUUGCUUAAACAGAAUCAGGUGAAAUUCAUUAUGAUGCAUGGACUGGCUUUGAGUGAGG